rnacentral:rRNA from 1 species
UCAAGUAAUUAAGGGUUUAUGGGGAAUACCUUGGCAUUCAGAAGCGAUGAAGGACGUGGUUACCGACGAAACAUUUCGGGGAGCUGGAAACAAGCUAAGAUCCGGAAGUAUCCGAAUGAGGAAACUUUUAAAUAACUAUUUAUUUAAUUAAUAGAUAAAAUAGAGUGAACCCAGGGAACUGAAACAUCUUAGUACCUGGAGGAAAAGAAAGUAAAAACGAUUUCCUUAGUAGCGGCGAGCGAAAUGGAAACAGCCUAAACUUAUAAAUCAUAAGGGUUGUGGGACAGUUGUUAUAAAUUUGUAAAAGUUAGAAGAAUAAGUUUGGAAAACUUAACCGCAGAGAGUGAUAGUCUCGUAUUCGAAAACUAAAUCAAUUCAAACUGUAUCCCAAGUAGCAUGGAACACGUGAAAUUCCGUGUGAAUCUGCGAGGACCACCUCGUAAGGCUAAAUAUUACUGAAUGACCGAUAGUGAAAUAAGUACCGUGAGGGAAAGGUGAAAAGAACCCCGGUAAGGGGAGUGAAAAGAACAUGAAACCAUAAACUUACAAGCAGUAGGAGAACGACUAUUUAACGUUUGACUUCGUGCCUGUUGAAGAAUGAGCCGGCGACUUAUAGGUAGUGGCAGGUUAAGACAGUGAAUGUUGGAGCCAUAGUGAAAGCGAGCCUGAAUAGGGCGUUUGUCUCUAGUUAUAGACCCGAACCCGGAUGAUCUAACCAUGGCCAGGUUGAAGCUUAAGUGAAACUAAGUGGAGGACCCAACCGACUGAUGUUGAAAAAUCAGCGGAUGAGCUGUGGUUAGGGGUGAAAUGCCAAUCGAAUUCGGAGCUAGCUGGUUCUCCCCGAAAUGCGUUUUGGCGCAGCGACAAAUCUUAUAAUUUAGGGGUAAAGCACUGUUACGUAUGCGGGCUGGUAAUUCGGUACCAAAUCGUUGCAAACUAAGAAUACUAAAUGAAUAAUUUGUUAGUAAGACUAUGGGGGAUAAGCUCCAUUGUCAAGAGGGAAACAGCCCAGAGCACCAGCUAAGGCCCCCAAAUAAUUACUAAGUGGUAAAGGAGGUGGGAGUGCAGAGACAAUCAGGAGGUUUGCUUAGAAGCAGCAAUCCUUUAAAGAGUGCGUAAUAGCCCACUGAUCGAGUAAACCUGCGCCGAAAAUGAAUGGGACUAAGUAAUUUGCCGAAGCUGUGCGAUAUACUUCCAGUAUAUCGGUAGGGGAGCGUUCUGUUGUAGGUUGAAGUAUUAGCGUAAGCGGAUAUGGACAAAGCAGAAGUGAGAAUGUCGGCUUGAGUAACGAAAAUAUAGGUGAGAAUCCUAUACCCCGAAAACCCAAGGUUUCCUCCGGAAGGCUCGUCCGCGGAGGGUUAGUCAGGACCUAAGGCGAGGCUGAAAAGUGUAGUCGAUGGACAACGGGUUAAUAUUCCCGUACCGUUUUUUAUUAAUAUCGAGGGACGGAGAAGGCUAAGCUAGCUGGAUGUUGGUUACCAGUUUAAGCGUUCAAGACGUUGAGAAGUGGAGAAAACACUUUGAGUUGAGACGUGAUGACUAGACGUUAAGGCGUCAAAGUAGUGUAUGUCAUGCUUCCAAGAAAAGCUCGCAAUGUUAUAGAUAAAAAACGCCUGUACCAUAACCGACACAGGUGGGUAGGUAGAGUAUACUAAGGGGCGCGAGAUAACUCUCUCUAAGGAACUCGGCAAAAUAGCUCCGUAACUUCGGGAGAAGGAGUACCUCAUUUAUGAGGUUGCAAUAACAAGAUCCAAGCAACUGUUUAUCAAAAACACAGGUCUCCGCUAAGUCGUAAGACGAUGUAUGGGGGCUGACGCCUGCCCAGUGCCAGAAGGUUAAAGAAGUUGGUUAGUGUAAACGAAGCUAAUAACUGAAGCCCUGGUGAACGGCGGCCGUAACUAUAACGGUCCUAAGGUAGCGAAAUUCCUUGUCGGGUAAGUUCCGACCUGCACGAAUGGCGUAACGACUUCCCCACUGUCUCCAGCAUAGACUCAGCGAAAUUGAAUUCCCCGUGAAGAUGCGGGGUACCCGCGGUCAGACGGAAAGACCCCGUGCACCUUUACUGCAGCUUGGCUGUGGCAUCGGAAAUAGUAUGUGUAGGAUAGGUGGGAGGCUAUGAAGCUUGGGCGCUAGUCCGAGUGGAGCCAUCCUUGAAAUACCACCCUUACUCUUUUCGAUGCCUAACUACGUCCCUGGAUGGGACUAGGACCCAGCCUGGCGGGCAGUUUGACUGGGGCGGUCGCCUCCUAAAGAGUAACGGAGGCGCGCGAUGGUAGGCUCAAGCCGGUCGGACAUCGGCUGUUGAGUGCAAUGGCAUAAGCCUGCCUGACUGUGAGGACGACGGUCCGAACAGAGACGAAAGUCGGUCAUAGUGAUCCGGUGGUCCCGAGUGGAAGGGCCAUCGCUCAACGGAUAAAAGGUACUCCGGGGAUAACAGGCUGAUACCGCCCAAGAGUUCACAUCGACGGCGGUGUUUGGCACCUCGAUGUCGGCUCAUCACAUCCUGGGGCUGAAGCAGGUCCCAAGGGUUCGGCUGUUCGCCGAUUAAAGUGGUACGUGAGCUGGGUUCAGAACGUCGUGAGACAGUUUGGUCCCUAUCUGCCGUGGGUGUUGGAAACUUGAGAGGAUCUGUCCUUAGUACGAGAGGACCGGGAUGGACAAACCUCUGGUGGACCUGUUGUGGCGCCAGCCGCAUUGCAGGGUAGCUAUGUUUGGACGGGAUAAAUGCUGAAUGCAUCUAAGCGUGAAACCCACCUCAAAACCAGGUUUCCCUUGAGAGCCGUUCUAGACUAGGACGUCGAUAGGCUGGGUGUGGAAGUGCGGCGACGCAUGGAGCUAACCAGUA